AAACUCUCUCCUUAUCUCAAACUCUCCCUAGCACUCGAAACCCUAAUCACCUCCCUCAUCUUCUCUGAUCAAUCUCACCAGAGUCCAUGGCUUCUCAGGCCAUGAACGACUUGUGCUCAUCAUCAUCCCCCCCAAGCCUUGGUUGUUCUAGAUUCCGAGGUCCAACCUCGAUGGUGUUCGAGUAGAUCCCCCACAGAUCUGUGGUUCUAUGGUCUCUCCGACCGUGUUCUCACAUGUUCGAGCUUUAAGAGCCUAGCUAUGGCUCAUAUCUAUUCGAGACCAGACCCUUUCCAAGC
rnacentral:lncRNA from 1 species